AUAAACCAAACCUUCCUUCUCAUUGUUGACUAGGAAAUAGGGAUUACGAAAGCUUCAUCUUUUUCACACCCUGCUCUACUCACUCAUGGCUCUGAAAUCGUUCAUUGAAGUUCACCCUGACUCUCAUUUCCCCAUACAGAACCUACCUUACGGUGUCUUCAAGCCCCAACCAGGUUCUUCACCUCGACCCGGCGUAGCCAUAGGCGACUACGUCCUUGACCUCUCUGAAAUCGCUUCUGCUGCUCUCUUCAAUGGUCCUCUCCUCAACAACUCUGAUUGCUUCCACCAGCCUAAUCUAAAUAAGUUUGUAUCCCUUGGAAGGCCAGCGUGGAAGGAAGCUCGCGCUACUCUUCAAAAGCUCCUUUCAGCAACUGAGCCAACCUUGAGGGACAAUGCUACUUUGAGGGAGAAAUCACUUGUGCCUAUGAGCCGUGUGGAAUUGCUUCUUCCUGUUCAGAUUGGAGACUACACUGACUUCUUUUCAUCUUUGCAUCACACUAAAAAUUGUGGCCUCAUAUUUCGCGGGUCACAGAAUCCUGUCCUAGAAAAUUGGUAUCACCUACCCGUUGCCUAUCAUGGACGAGCAUCUUCUGUUGUUAUAUCUGGAACUGAUAUUGUUCGACCAAGAGGUCAAGCUCAUCCAACACCUGGAUCUCCACCUUACUUUGGUCCUUCUCGAAAGCUAGAUUUUGAGUUGGAAAUGGCUACUAUUGUUGGACCUGGAAAUGAUUUGGGGAAACCUGUGGAUAUCAACAACGCAGCAGAUCAUAUCUUUGGUGUUGUUCUAAUGAAUGACUGGAGUGCUCGGGAUAUUCAGGCAUGGGAAUAUAUUCCUCUUGGCCCUUUUCUUGGCAAGAAUUUCGGCACAACAAUAUCACCUUGGAUUGUGACCCUAGAAGCAUUAGAACCUUUUGCGUGUGAAGCCCCAAAACAGGAUCCUCCUCCACUUCCAUAUUUGACUGAAAAAGUAUCCAAAAACUAUGAUGUUGCACUUGAGGUUCACAUUAAACCAGCUGAGCAUGAGAAGCCAAGUGUGGUGACACGGAGUAAUCUCAAGCACUUAUAUUGGACAUUGACUCAACAGCUUGCUCACCAUACCAUCAACGGUUGCAAUCUGAGACCAGGAGAUCUCCUUGGAACUGGGACAAUUAGUGGUCCUGAGCAAGAGUCCCGUGGAUGCUUGCUGGAGUUAACCUGGAAUGGACAAAACACACUGUCAUUGAAUGGGGUAGAUCGGAAAUUUCUUGAAGAUGGAGAUGAAGUCACCUUCACUGGAUAUUGCAAGGGAGAUGGUUACACAAUUGGGUUCGGCAAGUGCUCCGGCAGGAUAAUUCCAUCAGCUCCCUGAGGACGCCAUUGUUGUUGCAUGCUUUUCUGCAGCUAAGAGUAGUUGAACUGUUGAAGAUCCAAAUCUGAUGUGAUUCAUUUUGCAACAGCGGACCUUAUGACUUCAUCUCAUAUUGUGCUACUAGAGGGCUGCACGCCAACCCCUCAAGGCUCGUGUCUAUUGUAAAUGGAAUAAUACCAUGGUGUAUUGUAAUUUUUAAUAAAAAAUGAAAAUUGUUUUUUUACAAAAUGAAAAUUAUCAAGGGAAAAAAAUGUGCAUUGC